rnacentral:rRNA from 1 species
UACGUAGGGUGCAAGCGUUGUCCGGAAUUAUUGGGCGUAAAGAGCUCGUAGGCGGUCUGUCGCGUCGGCUGUGAAAAACUCGGGGCUCAACUCCGAGCUUGCAGUCGAUACGGGCAGGCUAGAGUUCGGCAGGGGGAGACUGGAAUUCCUGGUGUAGCGGUGAAAUGCGCAGAUAUCAGGAGGAACACCGGUGGCGAAGGCGGGUCUCUGGGCCGAUACUGACGCUGAGGAGCGAAAGCGUGGGGAGCAAACAGG